rnacentral:lncRNA from 1 species
UAAAUGAGCCCUAUUUGUUAAGAAGCCGAAUAUUUGUAUUUUGGAUCGGGUCGCGUUGUGGUUACACCCGGACACCCCCCCCGCCUAAAUCUCCCAUCAUAAAUAAAAGAGGAGAAAGCAAACACCCGGAGGUUAAUUGGGAUUUCUUGUGCCCGCGUCAUUUUCUCUACCUUUUUGUAAUUUCCGGUCCUUUGGGUAGCUGCCUGCUUGCCUGCUUGCCUGCUUGCCUGCCUGCCACAGGGGAGUGUGUGAGGGAGGGUUUUACAGUAGCCAGCCACCAAACACCUCAAACAAUCUUCAAUCAUCGUCAUCUCAAACUCUGUUCAUCGUUCCGUUGCUAAGACUUCAACUUUCAAGGUAAUAAGUCUACUUUCUCUCCUCUUCUCUUCUAUCUCUCCCUCAUUUUUCUCUGCAACCAAACUUAAACCCGUGCUUUAGAAUAGUUGAGUGACAUUUGCUUCUUCUUCUUCAUGGAGAAGUGCAGUAUUGUUGAUCUUGUCGUUUGCAGAUAUGGUGUUUGUAAAAUUGCCUCUUAGACAAUUUGUGUUAGUGUUGUAUGAACUAUAAUUUGUUGGGCAAUCUCUAAAGUGAACUAGUUUGCAGCAAUGGCCAUGGAAGAGCCAAAAGACCCGUUCAAAGGGGUUGAUUGGAAAGCUGUUGGUAGUGACAUGCAGAAGGACCCCAGUGUUAAGCCGGGAAUAAAGAAGCGGCUUCCCAGAAAGAUUAGGCAGAUCCCAGAUUGCUAUUUUCUUCCUCGAAGAUCCCUACCCUAUAACAUUGCAUUCUAUGGAGCAUGUAUUGCUGGUGGCAUUGGUGCUGGGAUGCUGCUGGAGGUCUGGAUAAACAAGAAAGUUAAAGGUACGUAUGCCCUAUAAUCCUGAAAGUUUCCAGCUUUGCAAGUUUAAUGCUUUUGGUUAGAUGCACUGCAUAUCUGAGCCUUGUCCAUGGUGGGUUUAGGGGUUUAUGGUUUAAAUUGCACAUUCAGAACAUUAGGAAUUACGAAAGGAGAUGUUAAAAUAAGAAAUCUAUGAUCAGAUUGCUGAUUUUUUAUGGUUCUACUUUGUUGUAAUGCUUAGCCUAUACUUUUCUGAUUGUUGGAAGUAGAGUUUAUGUGCUAAUAUAUCAUGCUUUGGUGCUGCAGAUGAUGGAGGAGUCAUAUGGGAGUUUGACAAAUGAAGCCAAGAGAGAUGGAGUUGUUAAUGUGGUGGCAUUACAAAUUUCCCCUCUACUCUCUCUGCCUCUUUGCUCUUUCAGAAUAUUCUUACUGAGAGAUAAAAAGCUGUAAAGACAACUGAGUUUGGUUUCUAUGCUAAUGUCUGGUCUUGGCAUUUUGAUAAUGAGCAUACUAUAUUGUUUUGAUAUCGGCUCUCCGUUCUGUUUCAACUUUGAUUUUCAGAUUAUAAGAACUGAUCACAACUCUCUGUCAUUUUUCGUACUUAUUCCACAACUUCUCAUCUUUGGAGAAGAUCGCAAUCGUCCAAUAGUAGAAUAAACUGGGGGAAGG